AGGGUUGUAGCUCAGUGGUAGAGCGCUUGCCUAGUAUGUGGGAGGCACUGGGUUUGAGUCUCAGCACCACAA
rfam:Ictidomys tridecemlineatus contig023814, whole genome shotgun sequence.